UUUUUGGAGAGUUUGAUCCUGGCUCAGGAUGAACGCUGGCGGUGUGCCUAAUACAUGCAAGUCGAACGGACUCUUAUUUGAAUCUAGUAUUUAACCUCGGUUAGAUACCAGAUCCUUUCGAGAGUUAGUGGCGGACGGGUGAGUAACACGUUGGUACCUGCCCCGAAGUGGGGAAUAACUGCCCGAAAGGGUAGCUAAUACCGCAUAUUGCCGAAAGGUGAAAGCAGUAAUGCGCUUCGGGAGGGGCCUGCGUCCCAUUAGCUUGUUGGCGGGGUAAUAGCCCACCAAGGCUUCGAUGGGUAGCUGGAUCGAGAGGUUGACCAGCCACACUGGGACUGAGAUACGGCCCAGACUCCUACGGGAGGCAGCAGUAAGGAAUCUUCCACAAUGGACGAAAGUCUGAUGGAGCAACACCGCGUGCAGGAUGAAGGCUUUCGGGUCGUAAACUGCUUUUAUAUAGGAAGAUUAUGACGGUACUAUAUGAAUAAGGACCGGCUAACUACGUGCCAGCAGCCGCGGUAAUACGUAGGGUCCAAGCGUUAUCCGGAAUCACUGGGCGUAAAGCGUGCGUAGGCGGCGUGUUAAGUGUGAUGUUAAAUCGUGUGGCUCAACCAUAUCGAUGCAUCGCAUACUGGCAUGCUUGAGGGAGGCAGAGGCAAGUGGAAUUGGCAGUGUAGCAGUGAAAUGCGUAGAUAUUGCCAGGAACACCAAUGGCGAAGGCAGCUUGCUGGGCCUUCUCUGACGCUGAGGUACGAAAGCGUGGGGAGCGAACAGGAUUAGAUACCCUGGUAGUCCACGCCGUAAACGAUGCAUACUAGUUUUUUGGGGUAUCGACCCCCUGAGAAACGAAGCUAACGCGAUAAGUAUGCCGCCUGGGAAGUACGGUCGCAAGACUAAAACUCAAAGGAAUUGACGGGGACCCGCACAAGCGGUGGAUGAUGUGGUUUAAUUUGACGAUACGCGGAGAACCUUACCCAGGCUUGACAUCCUUGGAACCUUUAAGAAAUUAGAGGGUGCCCUCGGGAGCCAAGUGACAGGUGCUGCAUGGCCGUCGUCAGCUCGUGUCGUGAGAUGUUGGGUUAAGUCCCGCAACGAGCGCAACCCUUAUCGUAUGUUGUAUUUUUCAUGCGAGACUGCCCGGGCCAACCGGGAGGAAGGUGGGGAUGACGUCAGGUCAGCAUGGCCCUUACGCCUGGGGCUACACACGUCAUACAAUGGCCGGUACAACGCGUUGCCAAACCGCAAGGUGGAGCUAAUCGCAACAAAACCGGUCUCAGUUCGGAUUGCAGGCUGCAACUCGCCUGCAUGAAGUCGGAAUCGCUAGUAAACGUGGGUCAGCAUACCACGUUGAAUACGUUCUCGGGUCUUGUACACACCGCCCGUCACGUCAUGGAAGUCGCCAACACCCGAAGUGCCUAUUUUCUAGGCCCUAAGGUGGGGGUGGUAACUAGGAUGAAGUCGUAACAAGGUAUCCGUACCGGAAGGUGCGGAUGGAUCACCUCCUUUCUA
rnacentral:rRNA from 1 species